CUUAAACGCUGGCACACCUCCACAGCAGCAAUUUAAAUCACCAUAUCACAACAAGAAGAAAAAAUAUCAAGAUAUCUGACCACCAUUGAAAUAUACAGACAUAUCAAGAGAAGCAUGGCAGGAACAACAUCAGACCAACCUCGAAUGAUGCUUGUACGCCGAUUUAAACCAAUUUUCAACCAUCUGGCCAAAACUUUUAGCUCUAUUCCAUUAAGCGCUUUGUUAGUUGGACUAGAGGUGUUGAUGGAACAAGCUUUUUUAUGCCCAUGCAAUCCUGAACAAAAUACACAUCUAGUAGCAUCCUUCUUCUCUGGUCCUUUUUGUUUAAUUUUAGCAUUGAUGUUCAUCCUGUACAGACCGUUUAGAUAUGGAUGCUGUCAGUGUUAUGAAGGAUCAAAUGAGGAUGACGAUAAUCAGAAGAAUUGUCCAAGAGCUUUAGCCAAUUGUUUCAUUCCUCCUAUUAUGUGGAUCAUCAUCUUGCUUAUUGAUGGUGAUUAUAUAGCAUGUAGCUUGACAAAGUGGAAUGGAACUUAUAGUUUUAAUGAAGAAAUGGACAGAAAGUGGUGUCAACCCCAAGAAAAAGAGAUUAAUCUACAGCAUGAAUAUCAGAAGUUUAUCCACAAAUCUAAGAUUUGGGGUUAUGGAGUGCUUGUUGUCUUCAGUUGUGUGAUCGUUUUGUUGGUGGUCUGCUAUGAUUGCUAUAUAAGUAGAAAAUCCAGCUGCUUCCUUAAAAUAUCUUCUUGCAUGGAG